GAACACCAGUGGCGAAGGCGACUUUCUGGACUGUAACUGACGCUGAGGUACGAAAGCGUGGGUAGCGAACAGGAUUAGAUACCCUGGUAGUCCACGCCGUAAACGAUGGAUACUAGGUGUAGGGGGUAUCGACCCCCCCUGUGCCGGAGUUAACGCAAUAAGUAUCCCGCCUGGGGAGUACGGUCGCAAGACUGAAACUCAAAGGAAUUGACGGGGGCCCGCACAAGCAGCGGAGCAUGUGGUUUAAUUCGAAGCAACGCGAAGAACCUUACCAGGGCUUGACAUCCCGAUGACCGGUACAGAGAUGUACCUUCCCUUCGGGGCAUUGGAGACAGGUGGUGCAUGGUUGUCGUCAGCUCGUGUCGUGAGAUGUUGGGUUAAGUCCCGCAACGAGCGCAACCCCUAUCCUUAGUUGCCAUCAGUUAAAGCUGGGCACUCUAAAGAGACUGCCGGGGAUAACUCGGAGGAAGGUGGGGAUGACGUCAAAUCAUCAUGCCCCUUAUGUCCUGGGCUACACACGUGCUACAAUGGCCUGUAACAGAGGGAAGCGAAGCCGUAAGGCGGAGCAAAACUCAGAAACCAGGUCCCAGUUCGGAUUGUGGGCUGCAACUCGCCUACAUGAAGUCG
rnacentral:rRNA from 1 species